rnacentral:lncRNA from 1 species
GGCCUCAAUAUUGAUUUUUUAAACCAUGGACACUUGCAUUUAUUGGAUUACACUACUAUUUAACUUUCCUAUAAACAUCCUUCACCUCUAUUGGAGUAUAUCUUCCAUCCAGCUUUUGCAUUUGUUGGAUUUUAUGCGCAAUACUAAAGAGAUGAAAACAGAAAUCAACACAAGAAUUUUACGUGGUUCGGCGAUGUGCCUACGUCCACGAGAGCGAAGCGGAGAUUUCUUUAUUCAAUUGUGAAAAAUAGGGUUACAACAUAUUAUUUAUACUAACCCUAGCCUGGGUCCAUAUAAAAUUUUAAGGUCCGUACAGAAAAUACCUCUGUACCGUACUGCGGGGGCAACCUCCAACCCAUUCAGCGUCCCUAACAACCAGAUAGUGAAUUAAACCCGCGCAAGGCCGAUGCCGUCACUCCACUCUGUUCCGUUUGAUUCGCUCCGCUCCACGCCGGCAUCGACCCAUUUGAUCCAGGGCUUGUGUUCCACUCUAUAUGAGCCACAGGCACAACAAUCUCCACCUUGACGAAUAUUCACCCCUUAGGAGAAAAAAAACAUAACCUGGAAAAAAUCACACCAUCUAGGACCAAUGGGUUGGGACACAUCUUCUCUAACAGCUAGAGAUGUUAAUCAAGUUCAAGCAUUAUCCAUUGUGAUUGGCUUUGUCAUCAUGUCUGCUGCAUUUUCUGAGGUAUGCACCUUCUCUAACAACAGCUCUCCUAAAGUAACCAACUCUCUUAUCUUAUGAAAUCUCACAUCAAUGUGUUUGGUUCUUGCAUGAUAAAUCUAAUUCUUAGCUAGGAAGAUGGCACUCUGACUAUCACAGUACAGCUUCAUUCCAUCUUGCUUGAUUCCAAGUUCCCUGACAAGCCCUUUCAACCACAAUAAUUCCUUGGCUGCCUCAGUUGCCGCCAUAUACUCUGCUUCAGUUGUAGAUAAUGCCACAAGUGAUUGCACCAUUGACGUCCAACAUAUGGGCCCACCUGCGAGUGUGAAAACAUAAUCUGUAUGGGACCUCUGUCAUCCAAGUUCCCUGCAUAAUCUGCAUCUACAUAUCCUUGAACUGAAAUAUCACCAUGUUGCCUCUCAAACAUGAUCCCACACUCCAUUGUACCUUUCAAGUACUUGAAAAUCCACUUUACAGCUCUCCCUCAUCCAUAUUCUUGGCAGCAAUUAACAUGUUGUCCACAUACAACAUCAAGAAAAUAUAUGAGUUAUCCUCAAGAACUCUGUAGUAUACGCAACAAUCAUACUCACAACGACUGUAGCCAAUCUAAAUCAUAUGAGAGUCAACUUCUUGUACCAUUGCCGUGGAGACUACUUAAGCCCGUAUAAAGACUUCUUCAGUUUACACACAAGAUUCUCUGUUCCUGGUUCCAAAAACCCUUCUGGCUGCUCCAUGAAAAUUUAUUCCUCCAAAUCACCAUGAAGGAAAGCAGUCUUCACAUCUAGCUGCUCUAACUCCAAAUCAAAAUUAGCCACCAUUGCGAAAAUUAUCUUGAUGGAAGUGUGUCUGACGACUGGAGAGAAAAUUUCAUCAUAAUCUACUCCCUUCCUCUGUGAGUAUCCCUUUGCUACUAAUCGAGCCUUGUAUCUUUUUCCUUCCUUUUCUGACAUUGCUUCUUUCUUUCUAUACACCCACUUACACCCUAUCUGUUUCUUCCCCUUUGGAAGCUCCACCAAAUCCCAAGUAUCAUUUUUAUGCAGUGACUCAAUUUCCUCCGUCAUAGCCUCUAUCCAUUUACCUUUCUCCUGACUACCAAUGGCAUCCUGAAAAGUUAUAGAAUCGCUAUUGCUGGUAAUGAGUGCAUAAGAAACCGAAUCCUCAAAUCCAUACUUUGCUGGUGGUUUGGUAGUGCGACGUGGUCUAUCUAAGGCAACACUAUAAUACUGCUCCACCUCUGACCUAGAACUAUCUGCUCCCUGAGCAUUAAUUUCUGUGUUAACAUUGUCUAGCUCUACUUGCACCACUUGACUCUUACCUGUGCCCUCGUCUGAAUUGAGCUUAUCUUUAUCUGUAGAAACUUUAAGCAUGAAUGCUUCAUCAAAUACUGCAUCCCUACUUAUCACCAUCUUCCUAGCCUCUAGAUCCCAAAACUUGUAUCCCUUUACACCUUUAACAUAGCCCAGAAAAAUGCAUUUUCUUGAUUUCGGAUCAAGUUUGGAUCGCUGAUCACUAGAUACAUGCACAUACGCCGGACAACCAAAUACUCUCAAUUCAGAAUAAUCAACUUCAUUACCUGUCCAAACUUCCUCUGCAACUUUCCCAUUUAGUACUGCUCGUGGUGAUCUGUUUAUGACAUAACAUGCCAUGUUCACUACUUCUGCCCAAAAACUCUUUGAGAGCCCUGCGUUCAGCCUCAAACAUCUUGCCUGCUCUGCAAUUGUUCUGUUCAUCCUUUCCGCAACACCAUUCUGCUGCGGUGUCUUGCGAACUGUAUAGUGCCGUUGAAUACCAUGCUCCUCACAAAAUCUCAGAAACUGUGAAUCUGUAUACUCCGUACCGUUAUCUGUCCUCAGAUACUUAAUUUUUCUACCCAUCUGGUUCUCUACUUCUGUUUUCCAUAAUUUGAACUUGGCAAAGGCUUCAGACUUGUGCUUCAUGAAAUAUACCCAAACUUUUCUAGAGAAGUCAUCAAUGAAAAUAAUAAAAUACUGAGAUCCACCUUUGGACAACUCCCUCACUGGUCCCCAAACAUCUGAGUGCACGUAAUCAAGAAUGCCCUCUGUCUUGUGCUUUCCCAUCUUGAAGUGUACUCUGGACUGUUUUUCAAGUACACAGAACUUGCAGAAAUUCAACUUGCAUGAUUUUACCUCCUUCAACAAAUUCCUCUUGUAAAACUCAACCAUGCCACGUUCUCCUAUAUGCCCCAGUCGCAUAUGCCAUAGACGAGUGUUAUCUGACUCAGAUUCUGCUGUAGCAACUCCACCUACAACUGUAUCCCCAAGUAGUUUGUAGAUAUUCCCUACCAAUUUCUAACCCUUCAUCACAAUCAUAACCCCUUUCUUCACUGUUAGAGCCCCGCACUCUGACUUAUAAGAGUAACCAUUUGUGUCUAAAGUGCCUAAAGAAAUUAGAUUCUUUUUCAACUCAAGUACAUGCCUAACAUUUUCCAAGGUCCUUAUCACACCAUCGAACAUUUUAAAUUUUAUGGACCCCAUUCCAAUGACCUUAUAUGAUGCAUCAUUACCCAUCAGAACAGAUCCAAAAUUACCAGAACGAUAUGAAUGAAACCAAUCCAGGUGAGGACACAUGUGAUAUGAACAGGCUGAAUCAAGUACCCAACAGUCAUUUAAUUUUACAGAAUUACCUGCAAAGACUGAUAACAUGUCUCCAUCUCUAGAAUCCGAGUCUCCUUUUGCAACACUAGCUGAGUUUGAGGAUCCAUCACCUUUCCUUUCAUCACUCUGCUUCUUAUUCGGACAGUCUCUCUUAAAGUGGCCCAUCUGAUGGCAUUUGUAGCACUUCACGUUUUUCUUAUUUUGAUUUCUAGAUUUUGAUCUUGUGUUCCCUCUAAAAGAAACACCCCUGUCCUUCCUUCUCCCACGAUCCUGGUAGCCCUUUACGAUCAACCCUUCACCCUGUGAAGUUCACUAGUACGCAGUUUUCGUUGGUUGUAGGCUAACAGGGCUGAUGUGACUUCCUCCAAUUCGAGAGUUUCUUUACCCUAUGUUAACGUGGUCACCAUUUGGUCGUACGAAGGAGGCAGUGAGCACAACAAAAUCAUUGCCUUGUCUUCAUCAUUAAACUUGAUUUCAAGUCGCAAUAGAUCGCUGAUGAUCUGAUUAAACACAUUGGUGUGUUGAAUCAGAUCCGUACCCUCCAGCAUCUUCAGCCCAUACAGCCACUGCUUUAGAUGCAGCUUGUUCGUGAGAGACUUUGACAUAUAACGACUCUCCAAUUUCUCCCAAACCUCCGCCGGAGACUCAACGUCCAUGACGUGAUACAUAAUUUCGUCCGCCAAACAAAGCCGAAUUGUACCAACUGCUCGCGCCUCGAGCUCUUCCCAGUCGGCAUCUGACGUACCCUCUGGUUUCUUCCCAGAUAGUGCCUUCAUCAUCCCUUGCUGCGCCAACAAAUCCUUCACCCUUCGCUGCCAUAAUCCAAAAUUCCCAGAUCCGUCAAACUUCAUCACAUCAAAUUUUGCAAUCGAAGAACUCGCCAUCGGAACCUAGCUCUGAUACCAGUUGUUGGAUUUUAUGCGCAAUAUUAAAGAGAUGAAAACGAAAAUCAACACAUUAAUUUUACGUGGUUCGGCGAUGUACCUACGUCCACGAGAGCGAAGCGGAGAUUUCUUUAUUCAGUUGUGAAAAAUAGGGUUACAACAUAUUAUUUAUACUAACCCUAGCCUGGGCCCAUAUAAAACUUUAAGGCCCGUACAGAAAAUACCCCUGUACCGUACCGCGGGGGCGUUGCCCCCGCACCCCCAACCCAUUCAGC